rnacentral:misc_RNA from 1 species
GUGAAUCAUCGAAUUUUUGAACGCAAAUUGCACUCUCUGGUAUUCCGGGGAGUAUGCUUGCUUGAGGGUUAGUUUAUUACAAAUCGUAAAAGAAGUUUUUACGGAUCUGGAUUUUCCAAAAAUUAUAUUUUUGGUAAUCUAAAAUUUAUUAUAACAAUAGGUGAUAUUGGAAAUGUUUAUCUUUAAUUCAUUAACAAUUACCAAAUUAGUUACGUCGUGUUAUUUUCCUAAUUUCUUAAUUAGGUAAAAGUAAUACAAUUUUUCUUUUGAAAUCUGACCUCAAGUCAAGUAAGAAUACCCG